rnacentral:rRNA from 1 species
UGCGUAGGCGGACCUUUAAGUCAGUGGUGAAAGUUUGCGGCUCAACCGUAAAAUUGCCAUUGAAACUGAAGGUCUUGAGUGUAAAUAAGGUAGGCGGAAUGUGUUGUGUAGCGGUGAAAUGCUUAGAUAUAACACAGAACACCAAUUGCGAAGGCAGCUUACUGGGAUACAACUGACGCUGAGGCACGAAAGCGUGGGGAUCAAACAGGAUUAGAUACCCUGGUAGUCCACGCAGUAAACGAUGAAUACUAACUGUAUGCGAUAUACUGUAUGUGGUAAAGCGAAAGCGUUAAGUAUUCCACCUGGGGAGUACGUUCGCAAGAAUGAA